GCCGACGUGGUGAAAUUGGUAGACACGCUAUCUUGAGGGGGUAGUGACUUCGGUCGUGUGAGUUCGAGUCUCACCGUCGGCACCA
rnacentral:tRNA from 2 species